UCUAUCUGCAUGGCUGUAAGCCAAGAGCAGCUGGCAAAGUCUACUCCAAAGAUAUGGACUCCAGAAUAAUUCCAGAUGAAGAAAUGGGCAGAAUGCUGGACUUUCACAGGAGAAAUCUCUGCUUCAGCCUUAAGGAUCAAUGUUGAUGCAAACUACAGGGCCUGUCCAGAAGGAAGAGGGAACCAGAUAAAACCUGUUUGGACAAGCUGUUAUUAUCCACGCUGAGCGGAAAGUCUGGUGGUGAGCAGGGACCUGUAAUCAGCUCUUUACA